CCUAUGGAGAGUACAAGAACUUGUAAUUAGUAUUUGAAUUUAUUCAGUAUGAAAGCAUACUCGAUGAAGUAGGAA
ncrna:unclassified sequences RAGATH-18 RNA